rnacentral:rRNA from 1 species
CAGCACCGCGGGAAUACGUAUGUCACAAGCGUUAUCCGGAUUUAUUGGGCGUAAAGCGCGUCUAGGUGGUUAUGUAAGUCUGAUGUGAAAAUGCAGGGCUCAACUCUGUAUUGCGUUGGAAACUGUGUAACUAGAGUACUGGAGAGGUAAGCGGGACUACAAGUGUAGAGGUGAAAUUCGUAGAUAUUUGUAGGAAUGCCGAUGGGGAAGCCAGCUUACUGGACAGAUACUGACGCUAAAGCGCGAAAGCGUGGGUAGCAAACAGGAUUAGAUACCCGAGUAGUCCCUGUCUCUUAUACAA